rnacentral:lncRNA from 1 species
GCUAUCCCGUGUUAGCAAAUGAAAACCCCUUUGCCUCUGAGUGUAGAAGUGGUGUCAAUCUAGAGCCUUCCCCUCCAAAUGAAGCAUUACAAUGCGAACCUUAACACUAUCAGCUACUCUCACAGCCUCAAAGUACUACUUGAGUUUUGACCACCAACCUCGAUAGUUUGUGCCAUCAAAUUUGGGGCAAUCAAGUUUAUGUGGAUGAAUUUGACUCUCCAAGCAUCCACCACGGGUAGGAGUUUCUAAACUUCCAAAUUCUACCAUUGGUCAAACCAUUUGAGUAUCUUUGAU